rnacentral:rRNA from 1 species
UACGUAGGGUGCGAGCGUUAAUCGGAAUUACUGGGCGUAAAGCGUGCGCAGGCGGUUAUGUAAGACAGAUGUGAAAUGCCCGGGCUUAACCUGGGAACUGCAUUUGUGACUGCAUGGCUAGAGUUUGGCAGAGGGGGGUAGAAUUCCACGUGUAGCAGUGAAAUGCGUAGAUAUGUGGAGGAACACCGAUGGCGAAGGCAGCCCCCUGGGUCAAGACUGACGCUCAUGCACGAAAGCGUGGGGAGCAAACAGG